rnacentral:rRNA from 1 species
GACGAACGCUGGCGGCGUGCUUAACACAUGCAAGUCGAACGGGUCUGCCUUGUUUUUUGCGGGGUGGGUCAGUGGCGAACGGGUGAGUAACACGUGAGUAACCUGCCCCUCACUUCUGGAUAACCGCUUGAAAGGGUGGCUAAUACGGGGUGUUCUGGCUGUGCCGCAUGGUGUGGCUGGGAAAGAUUCACUUUUGUGGUGUUUUGGUGGGGGAUGGGCUCGCGGCCUAUCAGCUUGUUGGUGGGGUGAUGGCCUGCCAAGGCUUUGACGGGUAGCCGGCCUGAGAGGGUGGGCGGUCACACUGGGACUGAGAUACGGCCCAGACUCCUGCGGGAGGCAGCAGUGGGGGGUAUUGCACAAUGGGCGGAAGCCCUGAUGCAGCGACGUCGCGUGAGGGAUGGAAGCCUUCCGGGUUGUGAACCUCUUUCGC